UACCUGCCCGGUGAUAUUUUAAACGGCUGCAGUACUCUGACUGUGCAAAGGUAGCAUAAUCAUUAGCCUAUUAAUUGUAGGCUGGAAUCAAUGGUUUAAUGAUAGAAUGACUGUCUCUCUUUUUUAUUUUGAAUUUGAAAUCUAAGGGAAGGUGCUUAGAUAGUUUAGUGGGACGAGAAGACCCUAUAGAGCUUUAAAAAAUUUUUAACGAUUGAUUUGAAAGUUUUUUUAGAUUGGGGCAAUUGUACUUAUGAUAAAACAAGAUGUUAAAGGGAUGAUUUAAAUCUUUGAGAGACCUAAAAUAUUUUGGGAAUUAGAAAAAGUUACCUUAGGGAUAACAGCGUAAUUUCUUUUGAGAGUCCUUAUUGACAAAGAAGUUUGCGACCUCGAUGUUGGAUUAAGGUAACCUGAAGGUGUAGCAGUUUUCAAAGGUUGGUUUGUUCAACCAUUAAAACCU
rnacentral:rRNA from 1 species